CCGGAGCUUGCUCCACCGGAAAAAGAGGAGUGGCGAACGGGUGAGUAACACGUGGGUAACCUGCCCAUCAGAAGGGGAUAACACUUGGAAACAGGUGCUAAUACCGUAUAACAAUCGAAACCGCAUGGUUUUGAUUUGAAAGGCGCUUUCGGGUGUCGCUGAUGGAUGGACCCGCGGUGCAUUAGCUAGUUGGUGAGGUAACGGCUCACCAAGGCGACGAUGCAUAGCCGACCUGAGAGGGUGAUCGGCCACAUUGGGACUGAGACACGGCCCAAACUCCUACGGGAGGCAGCAGUAGGGAAUCUUCGGCAAUGGACGAAAGUCUGACCGAGCAACGCCGCGUGAGUGAAGAAGGUUUUCGGAUCGUAAAACUCUGUUGUUAGAGAAGAACAAGGAUGAGAGUAACUGUUCAUCCCUUGACGGUAUCUAACCAGAAAGCCACGGCUAACUACGUGCCAGCAGCCGCGGUAAUACGUAGGUGGCAAGCGUUGUCCGGAUUUAUUGGGCGUAAAGCGAGCGCAGGCGGUUUCUUAAGUCUGAUGUGAAAGCCCCCGGCUCAACCGGGGAGGGUCAUUGGAAACUGGGAGACUUGAGUGCAGAAGAGGAGAGUGGAAUUCCAUGUGUAGCGGUGAAAUGCGUAGAUAUAUGGAGGAACACCAGUGGCGAAGGCGGCUCUCUGGUCUGUAACUGACGCUGAGGCUCGAAAGCGUGGGGAGCAAACAGGAUUAGAUACCCUGGUAGUCCACGCCGUAAACGAUGAGUGCUAAGUGUUG
rnacentral:rRNA from 1 species